GAUGAAGAACGCAGCGAAAUGCGAUACGUAAUGUGAAUUGCAGAUUUCAGUGAAUCAUCGAAUCUUUGAACGCACAUUGCGCCCGCUAGUAUUCUGGCGGGCAUGCCUGUUCGAGCGUCAUUUCAACCAUCAAGCCCUAGGCUUGCGUUGGAGCCCUGCGGCUGCCGCAGGCUCCCAAAUCCAGUGGCGGGCUCGUCGUCGUACCGAGUGCAGUAAACAUCCUCGCUCAGGGAACGUGACGGGUUCUUGCCGUGAAACCCCCCACAUAUCGAGGUUGACCUCGGAUCAGGUAGGAAUACCCGCUGAACUUAAGCAUAUCAAUAAGCGGAGGA
rnacentral:misc_RNA from 1 species